UGACUUCAGCAUCCCAAAACUUCUCACGAUUCACACGAAAAGCGGAGAAGAACGAACGCUCGUGACGAAAAAUAAGAAGAGAAGGAAAGAACGCGUUCAUGUCGAAAAUGGCUUACCCUCACCGUCGGCACCUGAAUCACCUUCGCGAUCCACUUGAAUCUUCGUGCAAGGUUCAUGUUUUGCUGCCCGUUGUGGAUUUGUUCUUCUGCUUCGUCGUGCGUGUGCGCUGUGUUGGGCAAAUGCUGAAGAUGAUUUCGUGUUUUCACGUUGUCGAUUGAAGCUGAAGACGAAGAUCCGUUCAGAUUAGUGCGUUGAGAUGAACUGGUAUGUUGUUGUUGUCCGAUUCGGAAUUACGUUACGUCCGCGUCGUCGUUGUUGAUUCUUCGGUUGGCCGUUGAUGAUGAAUUAUGAAACUCUAUCUUCCACGAUGCGGUUAUAUUGGGCUACUAUUUCUAUACUGAGUUUUCUCAUGGCCGAUGUAAUGCAAGUGUUUGGUCAGUUGGACGUUGUCGGAAAGAAGUUUCUUAUUCUAUUGUGAGGUGAUGGUUUAAUGUCGGAGUAAAGACUUUGUGUUGGACGUUCAUGGUAUCGGUUGCAUUAAAGUGCAUCAUUGGAAUGGGAAUGUCAUGGAGCUGACUUGGAUUCAAUGGACUGUAUUUUUUUCUCGGGACAUGUUGUAAACUUGACAGGUUAUAACUUGGAAUUGAUUGUAAUUGGAACCAUGUACAAUUUGGAAUGGAUUUGUAUGGUGAAGGUUGUAUUUAAUUUGGGAUUCCAAUUGUAUGGAAUUAAUUGUGUAUGAAAUGAUGUAAUUGAAUGGAAUAACAUGUAAUCGGAUAAAUUUGUACCGUAACGUGAAUUUGGUUGAAGUAUUUGUAAAUAUUGUAACUUGUAAUCAAUGGUUGAAUGUAAUUGAAAUCUGAUGAUUUGAAAUUGAUUUGAAUGGAAUUGAA